rnacentral:pre_miRNA from 1 species
AUAUGAAUCACCUGGGGAUCUUGUUAAGCUGCAGUUUCUGACUCAGCAGGUCUAGGGUGAACGUAAGAUUCUGCAUGUCUAACAAGCUUCCAGGGGAUACCAAA